CAGAGGGUGCAAGCGUUGUUCGGAAUUAUUGGGCGUAAAGCGCGUGUAGGCGGCUUGGCAAGUCGGGUGUGAAAGCCCUCAGCUCAACUGAGGAAGUGCGCCCGAAACUGCUGAGCUUGAGUGCCGGAGAGGGUGGCGGAAUUCCCCAAGUAGAGGUGAAAUUCGUAGAUAUGGGGAGGAACACCGGUGGCGAAGGCGGCCACCUGGACGGUGACUGACGCUGAGACGCGAAAGCGUGGGGAGCAAACAGGAUUAGAUACCCUGGUAGUCCACGCCGUAAACGAUGAGAACUAGGUGUCGUGGGAGUUGACCCCCGCGGUGCCGCAGCUAACGCAUUAAGUUCUCCGCCUGGGAAGUACGGUCGCAAGACUA
rnacentral:rRNA from 1 species